GAUCCGGUGACCUAGUGGUUAGAGCGUCUGUCUCGGAUGCUGGAGGACAUGGGUUCGAUCCCCAGUCGAGUCA